ACACAUUGACUCUCUUACACACAUGUAUUUGCCCACAUGGAUUCUCUAUCCCUUCCUCUCUGACUAGCACAUCACACAUGUACACGCACAGAGACAUGGACACAAACACACACACUACUCUGUCACACAUGCAUGUUCUCUCUCUACCUCCCUCGCACAUACUUCUGUCUAACUACAACAUGCUCCUUUCUCUAAU